rnacentral:rRNA from 1 species
CAGGUUUGAUCAUGGCUCAGGAUGAACGCUAGCUACAGGCUUAACACAUGCAAGUCGAGGGGAAACGAUAUUGGAAGCUUGCUUCCGAUAGGCGUCGACCGGCGCACGGGUGAGUAACGCGUAUCCAACCUGCCCACCACUUGGGGAUAACCUUGCGAAAGUAAGACUAAUACCCAAUGACGUCUCUAGAAGACAUCUGAAAGAGAUUAAAGAUUUAUCGGUGAUGGAUGGGGAUGCGUCUGAUUAGCUUGUUGGCGGGGUAACGGCCACAAGGCUACGAUCAGUAGGGGUUCUGAGAGGAAGGUCCCCCACAUUGGAACUGAGACACGGUCCAAACUCCGUACGGGAGGCA